rnacentral:rRNA from 1 species
UGGGCGAAAGCCUGAUGCAGCAACGCCGCGUGAGUGAUGAAGGCCUUCGGGUUGUAAAGCUCUGUCUUUUGGGACGAUAAUGACGGUACCAAAGGAGGAAGCCACGGCUAACUACGUGCCAGCAGCCGCGGUAAUACGUAGGUGGCGAACGUUGUCCGGAUUUACUGGGCGUAAAGGAUGCGUAGGCGGAUUUUUAAGUGAGAUGUGAAAUACCCGGGCUUAACUUGGGUGCUGCAUUUCAAACUGGAAGUCUAGAGUGCGGGAGAGGAGAGUGGAAUUCCUAGUGUAGCGGUGAAAUGCGUAGAGAUUAGGAAGAACACCAGUGGCGAAGGCGACUCUCUGGACCGUAACUGACGCUGAGGCAUGAAAGCGUGGGUAGCAAACAGGAUUAGAUACCCUGGUAGUCCACGCCGUAAACGAUGAGUACUAGGUGUAGGAGGUAUCGACCCCUUCUGUGCCGCAGUUAACACAAUAAGUACUCCGCCUGGGAAGUAC